UACGUAGGCAGCGAGCGUUGUUCGGAGUUACUGGGCGUAAAGGGUGUGUAGGCGGUUGUUUAAGUUUGGUGUGAAAUCUCCCGGCUCAACUGGGAGGGUGCGCCGAAUACUGAAUGACUUGGAGUGCGGGAGAGGAAAGUGGAAUUCCUGGUGUAGCGGUGAAAUGCGUAGAUAUCAGGAGGAACACCGGUGGUGUAGACGGCUUUCUGGACCGUAACUGACGCUGAGACACGAAAGCUAGGGGAGCAAACAGG
rnacentral:rRNA from 1 species